rnacentral:rRNA from 1 species
UACGUAGGGGGCAAGCGUUGUCCGGAUUUAUUGGGCGUAAAGAGCGUGUAGGCGGCCAAAUAGGUCGGUUGUGAAAACUGGAGGCUUAACCUCCAGACGUCGACCGAAACCAUCUGGCUAGAGUCCGGAAGAGGAGAGUGGAAUUCCUGGUGUAGCGGUGAAAUGCGCAGAUAUCAGGAAGAACACCCGUGGCGAAGGCGGCUCUCUGGGACGGUACUGACGCUGAGGAGCGAAAGCGUGGGGAGCGAACAGG